AAAAAAAAAAAAAAAAAAAACCAAGGUCACAUAAUAUCCACAUAAAUAAAUAUAUAGUUCUACAAGUAUAAUACAUAUUAUCGAAUCGAGCAAUACUUAUGAGCAUUGCAAAAAAACUGUAGUAAAAGUAGUAACGACAAGAAGAACAAUAACAAUAAUGCAAACUAGAACUGUGUUGGAACUGUAUAGCGGAAUAGGUGGUUUACAUUACAGCGUAUUACAAGCUUUCAUAAAUUAUCUUAAUGAAUCACAAUAUAAUGAUUUUAAUAUAACAGAUAAAAAAACGAACAUUCAUAAAAUAUGUGAAGAAGAACAAAAUAUAAAUGACAUAGUCAAUAAAACGGAUACUCCUAUGACCAACACAUUUGAAAAUGCAUUUCAGUUUUUUUCACUCGACCUCAACCCGAAUGCUAAUGAAACAUAUUAUCAUAAUUUUAAAGAGAACUGCAUUUAUUUGAAUGACAAAAAAAGUAUUAAUAUUUUUUUUAAAAACAUAUGUAUGGACAAGUUAUAUAAACAAAAAAAGAACAUUUUUGAUUUGAAUAGAGAAAAUGAGGAUGUAUGUUACAACGCUAAAGGAAUUGAUAAUGUUCAUACUAGUGCUGAUACAACUAAUUCUGAUAAUAACAAAAAUUAUAUAAUCCAAAUGGACAUAAAUAAUCUAACUGUUGAUUUUUUUGAACACCAUAAGUUUUAUAUGUUAUUAAUGUCAAAUCCGUGCCAACCAUACACAAGGCUCAACCAUAAAUUUAAACAGAUCGAUUUAAAUUUGUUGUUUUCGGAGUACAGUAUUGGAGAAAAAUGUAUAGAAAGCUCAGAUCAAAAGGACGUAAUACAAAAAAAUGUAAAAAAAACGGAUUAUAUUACUGCUACCUCAAUAAAUAACAGCAACAAAAAAAUAGACGAGAAAAACACUAAAAAUAACCUUUAUCAUGUUAACAACUUAAAUAUAGAAAAAGCAGUAAAAUUUUUAAACAAAGAAAAAGAUACUAGAUCAAAUAGUUUUAUACAUGUUUGUAAUUUGUUACAAAAUAUAAAAAAAGAAAAUUUACCUGAAUAUAUAUUUAUUGAAAAUGUAAAAAACUUUGAAAUAUCAUAUUCUUUUUUAUAUUUUUUAAAUUCAAUAAAAAGCAAUUACAAUUUUAAAACAUACCUUCUUUCACCUUUACAAUUUGGUAUACCUAAUGAACGGCUUCGAUUUUAUUGUAUAUGCAAAAAAAAAAAAAAAGAGAAAGACGUUUUUUCAAAAUCUACAAUAAACAAAAAAAAAAUAUAUACAUCUGCUCAAAUAGCAGGUUUAUAUAACAACUCACUAAAACCGACCACUUUUUUAUCAUUCAAAAAUAUAUUAAAAAAAAAAGAAGCCACUUUUUAUACGCCAAGUUUAAUUACCUAUUUGGAUCAGAAUGAACAUUAUGUCAUACCUUGUUACAGUUUAAAAAAUAUAAAUAUGUAUAAUAACAAAUUAAAUAAUUUUGAAAUAAAAAAAAUUGAAUUGGAAAAAAGUUCAGCUUAUUGUUAUGAUAUUUUUGAUGUCAACAGAAAUGGACACAUUUGUUGUUUUAACUCGAAUGAUUAUUAUAGUAAUAAAAAUUAUUUUUUAAGUACUUUUAUUUUGAAUAAUAAAAAUAUGCAAAAAAUAAAUGAACAAAAACUACAUGUAAUGUGCUUUACUUCGAAUUAUGGUAGAUAUAUAAAAGGUGCUGGUUCUAUAUUAUAUUUUUCGAAUAAUCAAAAUGACAUAACAAAAAAAGAAAAAACAGUUCUGCAUCCACAUGAUUUUAUGAUUCGAAAGGAUGUUAAUAUGUUGACAACAUCUCCUAAUUGGAAAAUGUCCAUAACAAAUGGUUCCUAUAGUAAAAGUACUACCAGCGGAAGCAGUGACAAUAGCAAUGUAAUA
rnacentral:lncRNA from 1 species